rnacentral:lncRNA from 1 species
UAGAUAGAUACUUAUAGAUAGAUAAAUUAGCUAAAUAGAUACUUAGAUAAAUACAUGUAAAUUAUGUACCUAAAUAUAGAUACUUUAUUUGAAAGAGAGAGAGAGAGAGAGAGAGAGAGAGAGAGAGAGAGAGAGAGAGAGAGAGAGACAGACAGACAGACAGACAGAUAUUUAAAUAGAUACCUAGAUAGAUUCUUAGAUAGAUAGAUACUUAUAGUUUUAUUAAUGAAUUUCCUUAUAUUCGGUGUCAUAUUGUAUUGUUAUCCCUGAUCUCAAUAUUAUAUUUUUGUGUAAUUUGUGAUUAUCAUUGUUAUUAUUGUAUUAAUUUGACUAUAGCAUAUGUGUAUUUAUAAUGUGAGCAUUUGAUAUUGGUGCUAAGUCAUUGACUGUGUGCCACGCUAGCAGUUCGUCAUUUGUCAUGCGCAGUUUCUCUACGCACCUCAUGGACGCUGGUCUGUCAGAAGUGAGCUGUUCAGGCGCAGCCACCAUUAUCCCUCUUUGGCAUGUGGCAGUGGUCGAGUUAACACCUUACAUUGGCUGGUGGCUCACCUGGCGAGCCUUUGUGUCAAGGAUAGAUCUCAGUGCUGGGAGUGGUCGGCGUCCGUGAAGGGCACGGGAACAUAUGUUGGGUAUUUUGCAUUGUCCUGCCAUUUGUGAGUAUUUUGGAGUUGUAUUAUCUGCUAUAACUAUUGUGAUGUCUUCUGUGAUCAAGAUAAUUAGCAUAUGCUUAUUUGAGGUGCUGAAGUCCUUUAAUAUGGUGCUCAGAGUGGUGACCCCAAUAACAUGUUACAGUGGCUGACUCGAGUGAGUGGCGACUUCUGUUUGUGUACCGGAGUUCUAGGGUGCUAUUCUCCUGCAAGCGGCUGCAUUCCGUGGUCUCGCAUAGUGUGAGUAUUGUUGGUGUAUAGUGUCAAGGAAAUAUGGAAUGAUGAUACGAGUUUAGAGUGUUAGAAUGUUCGGUUUAUUUAUUGUCUCAUUGUUUGCUGGCUGGAUAGUCAGGAUGCGAUUAUGCAGUGAUAGUGAUUUCCUUUACUGUUUGGUGCAAUGUGCAUACUAAUUAAUAUAUGGGCUUAUGCAAUUGACAGUGACUCCUUGUGUGUUGAGUUAAGGUGCUUAUCAGGUUAGGUGUGUACUAUGUUAAGAGUUGGUUCAAGGAUUUAAAUGAUUGUUGUUCAGGUUAGGUGUGUACUAUGUUAAGAGUUGGUUCAAAGAUUCAAAUUAUUAUUGUUAAGUGCAAAUGUCAGUUAUUGGGUCUUCUUCAUUGAUAUGAUUAUGUGUGAAGCAUUGUUGGGAAUGUUAUUUGCAAGAUAUUGGAACCUGCAUGUUUUACAGUUGAACAAAAUAAAUUCAAACGUGCA